CCUACGGGAGGCAGCAGUGAGGAAUAUUGGUCAAUGGUCGGGAGACUGAACCAGCCAAGCCGCGUGAGGGAUGAAGGUACAGAGUAUCGUAAACCUCUUUUGUCAGGGAACAAAGGCGGGGACGUGUCCCCGGAUGAGUGUACCUGAAGAAAAAGCAUCGGCUAUCUCCGUGCCAGCAGCCGCGGUAAUACGGAGGAUGCGAGCGUUAUCCGGAUUUAUUGGGUUUAAAGGGUGCGCAGGCGGUCUGUUAAGUCAGCGGUCAAAGCCCGGGGCUCAACCCCGGCCCGCCGUUGAAACUGGCAGUCGCGAGUUGGAGAGAAGUAUGCUGAAUGCGCGGUGUAGCGGUGAAAUGCAUAGAUAUCGCGCAGAACUCCGAUUGCGAAGGCAGCAUGCCGGCUCCACACUGACGCUGAGGCACGAAAGCGUGGGUAUCGAACAGGAUUAGAUACCCUAGUAGUC
rnacentral:rRNA from 1 species